UAGACACAAGAAUGUUUAACCUGAGUGAG
rnacentral:piRNA from 1 species